AGCGGAGGAAAAGAAACCAACAGGGAUUGCCUUAGUAGCGGCGAGUGAACCGGCAAAAGCUCAAAUUUGAAAUCUGCCAGCAAUGGCCGAGUUGUAAUUUGUAGAUGGUAACUCUGUAAGGAGUCUUUGCUCAAGUUUCCUGGAACGGAACGCCAAGGAGGGUGACAGCCCCGUGAGGCAUUGACGUACUUGCGUGUAGAGUGCUAUCGAAGAGUCGAGUUGUUUGGGAAUGCAGCUCAAAGUGGGUGGUAAGUUCCAUCUAAAGCUAAAUAUUGGCGAGAGACCGAUAGCGAACAAGUACUGUGAAGGAAAGAUGAAAAGCACUUUGAAAAGAGAGUGAAAUAGUACGUGAAAUUGUUAAUAUGGAAGGAUAUAAAACUAGACACAGAGUCUUAAGGUCUGCAGUCCUUCGGGAUUGUUUUGUCUUUUGAUUCUACACCAGCAUCAGUUUUGGCAGGAGGAUAAACAAUGCGGAAUGUAGCUGCUUUGCAGUGUUAUAGACGUAUUGCAUACUCUUAGCCGGGACUGAGGUCAGCCUUUGUAGGAUGCUGGGGUAAUGGUUUUAUAUCACCCGUCUUGA
rnacentral:rRNA from 1 species